GUAGAUAAACAAAAAUCUGAUGCUGUUAGAACAGAAUCUAUUCUUUUGGACAUUAAGGGGCGCACAUAUUGGAGAUUAAAAGGAUAUUCUGAUUAUUCUAAUGUUCUGCUUCAAGAUGUGGGAACCUGGGAUGCAGUUCAGUCAGGUGAAAAAUGGUUCACCUUUGAUGUUGAACAGGAAAAAGAAAUUGAAAAACACAUUUGUUCUUUAAGGAAAAGAAGGUUAUGGUCUCAAAAAAAUUAUUGAUGGGCUUCAUCUAAAACUACUGAAGAGGAAAUGAUUUUGUAACUAAUCCACCACCUUAAGUCAGUGCAAUCAAGGGCAGAUAGACAGACGGCAAUGAAAAUGAUCAGCGGACUUUUGGCUUCAACCGUAUCUACUCAGAAGGGUUCAA